UUACCCGAUCUCGUCUGAUCUCGGAAGUCAAGCAAUCUCGGGCUUGGUUAGUACUUGGAUGGGUGACCGCUUGGGAAUACCAAGUGUGAUAAGCA
rnacentral:rRNA from 1 species